rnacentral:tRNA from 1 species
GGUGGUGUGAUGGUUAAGUGCUCGGCUGCUAACCAAAAAGGUUGGUGGUUCGAAUCCACCCAGCACCU